UUUUUCUUUUACUAAUAUUAUAUAUUUUGUAGGCCGAUCGGAGGCAAUCAAUGAUGUUUACUAUUGACAACACCCCAAGAAAAGACCCUAGAAAAGACAUUCUAAAGAAAGGUCUGAGCAAACUACGAAGCUCUACUCGUAAAUCACCAGGGAAAAAUCUCAAGUCGCCUGCGCAGUCAGCUAACCGUCAUGGCCAAGAGAAUAUUCCUGUAAGAAAUGGACGCAUAGCUGUUGGAGGGGCUGCCAGGCUGGGAAGCCAGAAAUCCCCACUGAUGGCAAAUAAAGGACCGAAAAAGUCCCCACGUGUAUCCACUAGGGCUGCAAAAUCCCCUGGCCUUACAGCUAGUGCUCGCAAGAUGAUGAGCAGGAUGAAGGUGUGAUGCUUUUAAGUGACUGCACAGGACAAAAUCAUUCCAUUGCUUUAUCAAAUCAUUUGAACUUGAUUUUAACUACAUAGUAGUACCC
ensembl:lncRNA